GGGGUUGUGCCUGAUUAAAGGUUUGUUUUGAUGGAACAACUAUGGCUUUGCCCGACCCCA
rnacentral:tRNA from 1 species